rnacentral:rRNA from 1 species
CGCCGCGUCGACAACACAUGCAAGUCGAACGAUGACUCUCUAGCUUGCUAGAGAAGAUUAGUGGCGGACGGGUGAGUAACAUUUAGGAAUCUACCUAGUAGUGGGGGAUAGCUCGGGGAAACUCGAAUUAAUACCGCAUACGACCUACGGGUGAAAGGGGCGCAAGCUCUUGCUAUUAGAUGAGCCUAAAUCAGAUUAGCUAGUUGGUGGGGUAAAGGCCCACCAAGGCGACGAUCUGUAACUGGUCUGAGAGGAUGAUCAGUCACACCGGGUCGACGCGGCCCAGACUCCUACGGGAGGCAGCAGUGGGGAAUAUUGCACAAUGGGGGGAAACCCUGAUGCAGCGACGCCGCGUGGAGGAAGAAGGCCUUCGGGUUGUAAACUCCUGUCGUAAGGGACGAUAGUGACGGUACCUUACAAGAAAGCCACUGUCGACGCGGCCG